AGAUGGUUGAGAGGAUAUAUCAGUCCAACACAUCUAGUUAUUCUAACAGUAUUCUCUGUUCUCUUUUAGAGGUAAACACUUGAAAAAUGUACACAGUAUUUAUUCAGACGUACCUCUGCUCUGUACCAGUUCAUGGCGGAGUUGACGAAGAGAAAGCAACGAGACUGGUACCGGAUCCAGCCGUCAGGACAGUAGCCAAAGCGUUCCUCUACCAGGACGGAAGAACCCACAACAUUAACUACUGCCUUAUCUUGCUACAUACUGGUAUAGUAUAGUGUAGUAUGGUAGAGUAGAGUGGGUCGAGUAGAAUAAUUGUAUAGUUGUAUUAUAUUAGGUUAGUUAGCGCAAUUCAGUCCAAGACUAGAACAAACCUAACAUUUAGGAAUACUGUACAGUUCUGUCAUAGAUAUUAUAUUGUAAGGGAAGUUAUUAUUCUUUAUAUAGCAUUAAAAUGUUGUACCUUGUGGAUCAUGCUCUGCCAAGUCCAUCUCUAACAGAGUAGAGGAAGAAGAUAGUCAGCAGUGAAACAAACUAGGUCUGCAUAACACACUGAAAAGCUUGGCUGGAUCUCUGUUUUUGGGCAUCCCAAGUGAAUGGAACAACAUCAUGAAAGUUUCAGAAGAUAAAGUUACCGAGGACUGUGUCUCUCUCCUCUGGGAACGUCUCCAGCUCCAUCUGAUUCUCCACCUCCAUCUUCUUCACUUCCUCCACCUCGACAGGCUCCUCCAGCUUCUCUUUCAGCACCAUAUCCUCCACUAAAGAAACACGAAACACAGAUUAUUCAUCACAAUGUUGCAUUGUCUCUUUUUAUCUCCUCAGACCUUGGUAUCGAUGUUAAUAAAUAGACUGAGCCGUUUGGAAGCAACAGUGAGGAUCACAAACCUGGAACAGGAGCCUUUUUCUCUUCCUCGACAGGAACUAUAAAACCACAAAAGCACAACUUCACUUCACCGUUCUGAUGAAUCUGCUCCACUACAGUUCUACCACUACAGGUGAAUAUAGCCCAGUGUGUGUGUAUGUGUGUGUGUGUUUAGGCAGAUAGAUGCACACCCACCUGCGGCAGCUCUGACUGAGAGAGCCACACAGAGUAGCAGAGACAAAACUACUAGAAGCUUCAUGGUGAAGAUGAGGAUCUUAAAGGACUUCUAGAGACAGAAAAAGAGAACAAGGAAUGUGUCAGCAGGUGGUCCCUUCUGCUCUUACAAAUACCAACAUUUGGACGAAUAUAGUUGACAGAGAAACAGAGAGAGAAAGAGAGAGAGAGAUAAGUCCAAACGUAGCAGUUAUCUCACCUGUCAGAAGAAUCACAGAUUUUGUUUUACUCAGGUUGUCUUCGUUUGGUGUUCAGUUGAAGUGAUGAUGCAGGAGAAGGCUGACUGGCUGUUUAUAUACAGUCAGGACUAAGACUUUUUAUGGUCAUGACGCAAGUGCUGUAUCCUCAAUCUCCAUGUGAAACAUGAAAACAAGAACUUUGUAACUUGGAGAUUUGGAAAUGUCCAGUGUAUAUCAUUUACUGUGUCAUUUUUACAAUUAUUAUUGGAGUUGGAGGUUAAUGACCUAAGAAGUUGUUUGU